GCCUCAGCCGCAGUUCGGAACGUGCCCGCCCGGCUCCCGUACCCACGCCCCGCCGGCGAAGAGACAGCCAAUGGACGUCAGGAUUGAGGGAAGGCCACGCCCUCCCACGGAGGCCUUGGCGAGUGGGUGGUGCCUUACGUAAGAGGCGGAGACUGGGUUACUGGGCUCCUGCUGUAAAGCUAGUCAGGGCCGGAGAGGCAGGAGGGCGGGGCCGGGAACAACCCCAGGAGGAGGCAGUGUCUGCCAUGAGAGAAAGUGAGUGUGUGUGCCCUUUGCGGGGGCUCACGCCGGUAACUCCAGCACUUUGGUAGGCCGAGGCGGGAGGAUUGCUUGAGCCCAGGAGUUCGAGACUAGCCUGAGCAACAUAGUGACCUCGCCCCACCCCAUCCCUACAAAGUUUUUUUUUUUGUUUUUUUUGUUUUUUGUUUUAAUUUAGCCAAGCGCAGUGACUUAUGCCUGUAAUCUCAGCACUCUGGAAGGCCGAGGAUCGCUUGAGCCCAGGAGUUCGAGACCAGCCUGGGCAACAGCAAGAGCUCCAUCGCUACAAAACAUUUUUAAAAAUGUGCCUCUACUUCUGGAUUGUCAACCCCAAGUUGGGCUCUGCCCCGUGAUCUGCCACCUCUUUAAUAGAACCACCUGGGGCAUGUCUGAGCUGAGCCCCAAGCCCCACUCCUCUGCCAGUCAGAUGGGGUCAGGACUCUGGGCUGCCCUCCAAAAGGCUCUCAGGAAGGCGCUGAGUUCUGGCUGGAGUCAGAAGUGGAGAGACUUGCAGGAGGGGCAUAGAAGGAAAGCUUUCCUCUUAAAUAGAGGUGUGUAUUUGUGAUUCUGCCUGGCUCGUUUCCAUUCAUCCUUCAUGCUUCAGCUCAUCUAGCCCCUUCCUCAGGAAGCUCUCGUGACCUCCCUAGGCAGGGUUGGUUGCUUCCUCUGGACUCCCAGGGCCCUCUAGGAUUCCCGGAUUCCAGCCUUGAUCUGUACCCUUGCUUCCCUCAUCACAGCCCUGACCACUCUGGGCUGUCUUCUUUCUUUCUUUCUUUCUUUCUUUCUUUCUUUCUUUCUUUCUUUCUCUUUCUUUCUUUCUUUCUUUCUCUCUCUCUCUCUCUCUCUCUCUCUCUCUCUCUUUCUUUCUUUCUUUCUUUCUUUUUCUUUCUUCUUUCGAGAUGG
rnacentral:lncRNA from 1 species